GUGGAAUGCGAUGACUUGCUGAGCCAUCCAGCUUUAAUCUUUCUCCUUUGCUGGAUGCUUCCUGCCCUUGAACAUCAGUUUCUAGUUCCUCCGCCUUUGGGCUUUUCAGCUUACACCGGUGGUUUGCUGGGGGAUCUCGGGCCUUCUGCAGACUGAAGGAUGCACUGUCAGUUUCUCUACUUUGGAGAUUUUGAGACUCCGACUGAGCAGCUACUGGCUUAAUUGCUCCUCAGCUUGCAGACAGCCUGUCAUGGGACUUCACUUGUGAUCAUAGGCAAGUUCCCAUUACAUUGCCCAGGCUGGAAAGCACUGGCUGUUCACCGGCAUGAUCAUCAUGCAGUACAACCUCAAACUCCUGGACUCAAGUGAUCUUCCUGCCUCAGCCUCAGAGAAAUCACAAGGUGACACAUCAUUUCAGCUUUUUCCAUCCUUAAUGAUGGCCCACUUCAACCACUUGAUUAAGAUGAUGUCUACUUGGAUUGCCUAUGCACAUCUUCAAAUCCAAACAGAAACAAGACAUGGAGGAGUUGAAAGUGGAUGA
rnacentral:lncRNA from 13 species